rnacentral:rRNA from 1 species
UAAACGACUCUCGGCAACGGAUAUCUCGGCUCUCGCAUCGAUGAAGAACGUAGCGAAAUMCGAUACUUGGUGUGAAUUGCAGAAUCCCGUGAACCAUCGAGUCUUUGAACGCAAGUUGCGCCCGAAGCCGUUAGGCCGAGGGCACGCCUGCCUGGGCGUCACAU